GAUGAAGACGUAGCGAAAUGCGAUAAGUAAUGUGAAUUGCAGAAUUCAGUGAAUCAUCGAAUCUUUGAACGCACCUUGCGCUCCUUGGUAUUCCGAGGAGCAUGCCUGUUUGAGUGUCAUUAAAUUCUCAACCUCACCAGUUUUGUAACGAGACAGGUGAAGGCUUGGAUGUGGGGGUUUUGCAGGCUGCCUCAGUGCUGGUCUGCUCUCCUGAAAUGCAUUAGCGAGCUCAUAUUGAGCUUCCGUCUAUUGGUGUGAUAAUUAUCUACGCCGUGGAUUGGACUCAUGCUUGCUUCUAACCGUCCGCAAGGACAAUUUACUUGACCAAUUUGACCUCAAAUCAGGUAGGACUACCCGCUGAACUUAAGCAUAUCAAUAAGCGGAGGA
rnacentral:misc_RNA from 1 species